rnacentral:rRNA from 1 species
AGUAACAACCUGGAAACAAGAUGCUGAUACCGGAUGACAACAGAUGAUGCCUAUCAACUGUUUAAAAGAUGGUUCUGCUAUCACUCUUGGAUGGACCUGCGGUGCAUUAGCUAGUUGGUAGGGUAACGGCCUACCAAGGCGAUGAUGCAUAGCCGAGUUGAGAGACUGAUCGGCCACAUUGGGACUGAGACACGGCCCAAACUCCUACGGGAGGCAGCAGCC